rnacentral:rRNA from 1 species
ACUCCUACGGGAGGCAGCAGUGGGGAAUAUUGCACAAUGGGCGCAAGCCUGAUGCAGCCAUGCCGCGUGUAUGAAGAAGGCCUUCGGGUUGUAAAGUACUUUCAGCAGUGAGGAAGGUGGGUAUGUUAAUAGCAUAUUCAUUUGACGUUAGCUGCAGAAGAAGCACCGGCUAACUCCGUGCCAGCAGCCGCGGUAAUACGGAGGGUGCGAGCGUUAAUCGGAAUUACUGGGCGUAAAGCGCAUGCAGGUGGUUUGUUAAGUCAGAUGUGAAAGCCCGGGGCUCAACCUCGGAAUUGCAUUUGAAACUGGCAAACUAGAGUACUGUAGAGGGGGGUAGAAUUUCAGGUGUAAGCGGUGAAAUGCGUAGAGAUCUGAAGGAAUACCGGUGGCGAAGGCGGCCCCCUGGACAGAUACUGACACUCAGAUGCGAAAGCGUGGGGAGCAAACAGGAUUAGAUACCCUGGUAGGCUCU